rnacentral:rRNA from 1 species
GGAUCAGACUUUGAUUCUGGCUCAGGAUGAACGCUAGCUACAGGCUUAACACAUGCAAGUCGAGGGGCAGCGGGAUUGAAGCUUGCUUCAAUUGCCGGCGACCGGCGCACGGGUGAGUAACGCGUAUCCAACCUUCCGUACACUCAGGGAUAGCCUUUCGAAAGAAAGAUUAAUACCUGAUAGUAUCUUAAGCACACAUGUAAUUAAGAUUAAAGAUUUAUCGGUGUACGAUGGGGAUGCGUUCCAUUAGGUAGUAGGCGGGGUAACGGCCCACCUAGCCAACGAUGGAUAGGGGUUCUGAGAGGAAGGUCCCCCACAUUGGAACUGAGACACGGUCCAAACUCCUACGGGAGGCAGCAGUGAGGAAUAUUGGUCAAUGGACGAGAGUCUGAACCAGCCAAGUAGCGUGAAGGAUGAAGGCCCUACGGAUUGUAAACUUCUUUUAUAAGGGAAUAAACCCUCCCACGUGUGGGAGCUUGUAUGUACCUUAUGAAUAAGCAUCGGCUAACUCCGUGCCAGCAGCCGCGGUAAUACGGAGGAUGCGAGCGUUAUCCGGAUUUAUUGGGUUUAAAGGGAGCGCAGACGGGUCGUUAAGUCAGCUGUGAAAGUUUGGGGCUCAGCCUUAAAAUUGCAGUUGAUACUGGCGUCCUUGAGUGCGGUUGAGGUGUGCGGAAUUCGGUGUAGCGGUGAAAUGCUUAGAUAUCACGAAGAACUCCGAUUGCGAAGGCAGCACACUAAUCCGUAACUGACGUUCAUGCUCGAAAGUGUGGGUAUCAAACAGGAUUAGAUACCCUGGUAGUCCACACGGUAAACGAUGGAUACUCGCUGUUGGCGAUAUGCUGUCAGCGGCUUAGCGAAAGCGUUAAGUAUCCCACCUGGGGAGUACGCCGGCAACGGUGCAACUCAAAGGAAUUGACGG